UACGAAGGGGGCUAGCGUUGCUCGGAAUCACUGGGCGUAAAGCGCACGUAGGCGGAUUGUUAAGUCAGGGGUGAAAUCCUGGAGCUCAACUCCAGAACUGCCUUUGAUACUGGCGAUCUUGAGUCCGGGAGAGGUGAGUGGAACUGCGAGUGUAGAGGUGAAAUUCGUAGAUAUUCGCAAGAACACCAGUGGCGAAGGCGGCUCUCUGGAACGCAACUGACGCUGAGGUGCGAAAGCGUGGGGAGCAAACAGG
rnacentral:rRNA from 1 species